CGUUCUAAUGGCCAUGCCGAAAUUAAUACCUUCAACCCAGGAUAGCAGGUGCAAUAUCUUCAGAAACUGGGACCUGCAGAUGAACUACAAAUAAACUUCAGAAGAGAAAUGCUGAGUUGUAAGUAUGCACCAGGUUCCUUUGAGACAUCAUCAUCUACAGGCAUGCAGUUCACUUGAGGACAAUCAAUAAUCUAUUCUGAUCCUGAUCAAAUCACCUGAUGUCUCUGUGAUCGUGUAUCCUCCCACGUUAGAAGCAAUCAGGCGGAGAAUUAUGAGGGCAUUGAAAGAUUAGCCUCAUCAGUU
rnacentral:lncRNA from 1 species